rnacentral:rRNA from 1 species
CACUGCCUACGGGGGGCAGCAGUGAGGAAUAUUGGUCAAUGGACGAGAGUCUGAACCAGCCAAGUAGCGUGAAGGAUGACUGCCCUAUGGGUUGUAAACUUCUUUUAUAUGGGAAUAAAGCAGGGUGUGCAUACCCUCUUGUAUGUACCAUAUGAAUAAGGAUCGGCUAACUCCGUGCCAGCAGCCGCGGUAAUACGGAGGAUCCGAGCGUUAUCCGGAUUUAUUGGGUUUAAAGGGAGCGUAGGUGGAUUGUUAAGUCAGUUGUGAAAGUUUGCGGCUCAACCGUAAAAUUGCAGUUGAAACUG